rnacentral:tRNA from 1 species
GAGGGCUAACUAAGAUCUGCUAACUCUUUAAUCCGGAAAUAAUAGCCGGGGCUCUCU